CAAUCUGGAUUUGGGCUUCUGUUGUGGGAAACAAAGGAAAGAAAGUUAAGCAUGGCUGAAGUGUUGGGGAAGACGAAUCUGUUUACAGCUAGUAACCAUAGCCUGUGAAAGAAUCAAGUAAUUUCUAGGACAAUUUCUGGGUUUUGUUUAAAAAAGAAUACUUUUCACUCCUUGAAGGUGAAAUCUCAGGCUUUGGGGAGUGAUUUUAAUGGACAAGGAGUGGUUUUUCUAGAGAAGAAAAGUGUGAUUGAUAGAAGGUUUCGUCAAGUUCCCCAUUAAAGCACAGAUGCAAACUGGCCUUAUUGGUAAAACCCAGAAAUGGUGGGAGAAGGGAGUUCAACCAAAUAUGAAAGAAGUGACAUCUGUACAAGAUUUGGUAGACUCUCUUUUGAAUGCUGGGGAUAAACUUGUUAUAGUAGAUUUCUUCUCCCCUGGCUGUGGUGGCUGCAAGGCUCUUUAUCCCAAAGUAUAAGAAUAUGCAUUUGAAAGCUUAUAUAUAUUGUUUUUCAUUGUUGUGUAUAUCCAUGUAUUCGUAUUGAUACCAGUGGAUUUGCCAGAUUUACCAAUUGGCAGAGAUGAACUCAGAUGUGCAGUUCCUUAAAGUGAACUAUGAGGAGCAUAAAUCCAUGUGUUAUAGCCUUAAUAUACAUGUUUUUCCUUUC